GAUCCUGGCUCAGGAUGAACGCUAGCUACAGGCUUAACACAUGCAAGUCGAGGGGCAGCAUGGUCUUAGCUUGCUAAGACUGAUGGCGACCGGCGCACGGGUGAGUAACACGUAUCCAACCUGCCGUCUACUCUUGGACAGCCUUCUGAAAGGAAGAUUAAUACAAGAUGGGAUCAUGAGUUCACAUGUCCGCAUGAUUAAAGGUAUUUUCCGGUAGACGAUGGGGA
rnacentral:rRNA from 1 species